rnacentral:rRNA from 1 species
CGGGUGCACUGAUCCAGCCGGGCCUUUCCCUCUGUGGAACCCCAUGGCCUUCACUGGCUGUGGCGGGGAAACAGGACUUUUACUUUGAAAAAAUUAGAGUGCUCCAGGCAGGCCUAUGCUCGAAUACAUUAGCAUGGAAUAAUAGAAUAGGACGUGUGGUUCUAUUUUGUUGGUUUCUAGGACCGCCGUAAUGAUUAAUAGGGACAGUCGGGGGCAUCAGUAUUCAAUUGUCAGAGGUGAAAUUCUUGGAUCUAUUGAAGACUAACUACUGCGAAAGCAUUUGCCAAGGAUGUUUUCAUUGAUAAGGAACGAAAGUUAGGGGAUCGAAGACGAUCAGAUACCGUCGUAGUCUUAACUAUAAACUAUGCCGACUAGGGAUCGGACGAUGUUAUUCUUUGACGCGUUCGGCACCUUUCGAGAAAUCAAAGUGCUUGGGCUCCAGGGGGAGUAUGGUCGCAAGGCUGAAACUUAAAGAAAUUGACGGAAGGGCACCACCAGGGGUGGAACCUGCGGCUUAAUUUGACUCAACACGGGGAAACUCACCAGGUCCAGACACAGUGAGGAUUGACAGAUUGAGAGCUCUUUCUUGAUUCUGUGGGUGGUGGUGCAUGGCCGUUCUUAGUUGGUGGAGUGAUUUGUCUGCUUAAUUGCGAUAACGAACGAGACCUUAACCUGCUAAAUAGCCCGUGCUGCUUUGGCAGUUCGCCGGCUUCUUAGAGGGACUAUCGG